GUGCGUUGUGUCGGUGAUUUUGACGUGCGCCUGUGUGAACGCGUGAUGUGCGCGCGAGCGGCUUGACAACGGAUGUUUCUGUUUUCUCUGUAGACUAGUGUUUCAGGAUAUUAGUAGCAGAUUGUCCCAGGGGGGCUACGCAGCGUACCGCUAUGCCCAGCCGACAGCCGUAGCAGCCCCCUCAGCGGCGGCGGCGGCUGCAGCGGCAGCAGCCUACAGCGACAGCUACGGACGGGUCUACACUGCAGACCCAUACCACGCUGCUCUCGCUCCCGCAGCCUACGGUGUCGGAGCCAUGGCAACUCUCUACCGGGGAGGCUACAGUAGAUUUGCUCCCUACUAAGGACCCUACAUUUCCUUGGAGCUUCCCCCCCUCCCCUCUUCUUCCAUCCGGGCUCUAUGAAAGAGCUCCCUCUGUUGGUUCAGAGGAGGACUGCACCCUGUAUACAGAGAUAGUUCUGAUCCCACUCCAGCAAAAUCCCACCCUUUUUUUCUCUUUUUUUAUUACACUACAAAAAAUAAGGAAUGCUAAGACUAAUGGAUGGCCUUGACCUAAAAAGAAAAAAAAAGAACCAAGAUGGCCGCCUACUUUAUUGCACGGCUGUAUUAUAGAAUCCCUCCAUUACGCCCCCCCCCCCCCCCGCCAACCCCGACACUGAGCAGCACAAGACAUGGGAGCAGACCCAGACGAUCUUCCAGAAGCUCUAACUCAUGCAUGGAUAACUGACAUUCGAACAGCUGUCACCCAAGUGAACCAACAAGCCAAGUAAACCGUGCGGCAUCACACACCCUCACACAACGACCAGGAACAUUGGGGAGGGGCGAUUCAGAUUAGGAAUUAGGUGACGGUUUGUACUUUGUUGAACAGAAAACAAAAAAAACGCAUAAACCAUUUAAAAGCCGAAAAAAACAGGAUGGGGGACUGGUCUGAUUGAGCGGAGUGGAGUUUCGUUCGUUUGCUGUGCGUGCUGAAAAGGAGGAUUGGGAAUGGCGGCUGCUGUGAUGCGUUAUAAGCUAGACAUCACUUCAGCGAGGCUAGGAGAGGCGGGGCUUAUUUCAGAUGUACCUUACCUCGUUUUCUUAGUGUUUGGACAUGUGAACCUUUAAACUUUAAAUUGUUACAAUAUGCAAUUAAAUUAGUUUAGACAUGAGAAAAAAAAUAUUAUUACCAAAUUAUGAUUAUUAUCGUUCUUUAUAAUGAUUUAAUGAUUAUUAAAAAGGUUUUUUUUUGUAUCAUGACCGAUGUCGUUUCGGCUUGGACUCUUUAUGACAUAGCGUUGAUUCACCUGGCUGGAAUGAGUCUCGUUGCACUCAAUAUGCGAUAAAAAUACAAUGAAAACCUAGAUCCAAAUGAGAGCACAUAGCAGGAGGUAGAGUUGGUUGUCUCACUGGUGUCUCCCAUGCCUCAGAUCCAGUGACCAGGCUGCCAUGACAACACUACAAACUUUAAAACACUGCAGUCAAUUUACUCGCCUAAAUUCUUGGAGGAUUUGGUUUAUUCAUGUUCCAAAUCAUUAAAUUAUCUUCCCUAUAAUCUCCAUCGGAAGGCAAGGGGUAUACACCCUUUUUUUUAUUGAUUCCUUCAUCGAAGAAAAUGGAAAAGUAUUAUUUGAAAUCUCCAAAAUGCUCCCUGUUUUUAGUAGAGCAUGAAAACACGCAAAAAUGAGUCUUCCUGAGGAGAAACAGUUGAAAAACUGACAGUAGUUGUUACACACGAAAGAGUCAACAAGCGGAUCGAAAGUAAAUAUUCUACAUAAUUCUCUAUUCUAAAUCCUAUUCCCAAAUGUGGUUGUUUUGCCUUUUUGGUUUUAUUUGGUUCCAAAGAUUUUUAGGAAGCACAGUUUGUUUCUGCUUGUGUAUUAUUAAUAUAUUCUUUAUUCUUAUAUUAUGAUCCUGAUCCUUGGUAAUCGAAUUGCUGUCUUGUUACUAUUAUUCUACUUUUUAUUUAAAGGAUGCUCCUAUACUUGUGUGAGUUAAACUUUACUCUCAAACGUUUGUCCUUAACCUGAAGGGACAGAGAGGCGAUGGAGACCAGGAACGCAUGUUGCAAUGCAGAGUUCACAGAUUUUUGUUUGUUUUGGAUCUUUUAUUAUUUUUUGUCAUAUAGUCAGAACAGGCCUCGCCUGUUUCUGGAUUACAUGUUAUUUAAUGACUUGCUCUGGUAUUAUAUGAGGUUAAUUUGUAUUUCAGAAUAUGCAGAUAUAGCUACAAAUAAAAAUAAAAACUUGUGUCUGUAGUUUACAGGUGACCGAGCCCUUUGGAGAUGAAUGAACAGAGGCCUGUGGCACUUCUCAAGGGUUACGCAAAUUGUAUUCCGAUUUUAGUUUAUAUGAUUUAUUUUUGUUUUUAUAUUAGUGCUUUAACAUGGCUCCUUACAUUUCAGUGCGGAAAAAAAUAAUAUUUAGCCAGCUAUAGGAACGUUUGGCUUAAAUAUCGCAAAGUGUUAGAAUUUAAAGAUAAUAUUUCAACAUGGGGGAGAAAAAUAAACUGUGGGUCGUGGCUUAUGAACCACAAACCCGUGUUUGAAAUGCUGCAGCUAAUUCUGAAAUAGUUUGUCCAUUUCUUCCAUUUCAAUCCCCACCAAGCUAAGACGGCUCGGAAAAGUCUUCGCUGUAGUUGGUUUGCAGCUGGCUUUUGUUCAAUACGUUAUGUUGCUUUUUUCGCUUGACUUUUUAAUAUUUACAUAUUACUAUAGAACAGGGGUCACCAACACAGUGCCCGCGGGCACCAUGGCGCCCGCAAGGACCACAUGAGGCGUACGCAGGCCUGUCCUAAAAUAGCACUACUCAUUCUUGAACAACUCUUUCCCACCUUUUUUAAGUCAUUGUUGAUAAUUAUUGUGAGAAAUCAUUAACAUGACUUAAUUAAUUAACAUGUCUUCACAUAGAUGAGUAUCAUUAAUCAUUAAUAGUAAUAGUAAUAUAUAACUAAAGGCAAACUGAGCAAAUUUGUUAUUUCAGAAGAGUGUAUAGAACUGGGGGCCCUUCGUAUGACUCAGUGCCCAUGAAGUAGCUCUCAGGUUCAAAAAGGUUGGGGACCCCUGCUAUAGAAUGUGCUCGGAAAAAAAUAUUUCGUUUUUUGGUUCUUUUGAAGGAAACCUAGCCAAAGAUGCUAAUUGUCCCUUCACCUUCUUGUUCAAAACUUGAGAAGUGCUACAACAAAAAAAUUAUAUACAAAGAUGGACUUUUCUAACCAUUGGAGGCAUGGACAACCAGCAUGAGCGAUACGUGUCGAGUUUGAAAAUUGUUUUGCAUGACCUUGUGUAUUUUCAGACUCUGAGCAGUGCACAGUUGCAUUCUUUUUGACCACUUACCGAUAUGGAGCUAGCCAUUUUGACGCUGAUUGCUAGGAGACUAGCACACAGCUACGAAGAGCACAGUGCUGUUUUGCAACAAAAAAAAAGAGCCACUGACAGACUAAAUGGCUGCUCCAAAAGAGCAUGGGGUAUAUUCAGUCUCCAGUCAUGGUUUUAUUCUCAUUGUAUCGUAUUAGCUGUGUGGUCAUCUAUCCAUGCUAUGGUUUUGAUGGUUUCCCUCUUAUUUUCCCUGACUGCCAUUGUUUUGUUAUUGAAUGUCCAUAUAAAAUGUUUUAUAUAAAAAUGUUUUGUUGUGAUGCAGCUUCACACUUGUUUUUAUUUCUGUAAUCCAUAUAUUUAGAAAGCGUGUACAUUAUUAUAUAUUUUAUAUUUGUUGCUUUGCUUUUUUUCACAAAGAUCCCGUUAUUUCAAUAUUGUGUUUUUUUUAUAAGGUGCAGAUGUAAGCUGCCUUCUAGCAUACGCUAUUUUGUUGGUCAUUUUUCUCAGAAAUAAUAAAUCAAUCCAGUAUCACAACAUUGGUCCACCUAUGAUAUGAUAAGGACAAUUUUCAACAAGAGUUUCUUGGGAAAAUAUUGACAUUUAUUUACUAAAUCUUUACUCUUUGCCAGAAUCUACAAAAUGUACAAGCAUGCAUAAAAACACCAUCUUAAAACUUUCACACGUGAAUGAUCUCGCCGGCCGGGGUUGAACAGUAAUGUCAGAGUAAAGGCAGGAGAGGAGAGAAGGCGCUGGCUGAGCUUUAACCACGGCUGUCAAACCUUCUUGAAUACAAUGGAAAAACAACACCAGUGCUUAUCCAAGUGUGAGAGCGUGACAGUCCCCACAUUCAGGAUAGACCUUGAGCCGCAAUGUAAUUAUGACAUCCCUGUCACUUUUAAUAUGCAUCAAAACGGUUGACAAGACGAAAGGUAAAACGGCACAAAAAAGGGAUUUUGUGCAAACUGUAUCAGAGAUCUACAGUUCUUAUGAAUCUGUAGACGGGCAUAUGUGUGUGUAAACCGACUCUAGGUCAACAGACGAGGGAGUUUUUAAUUGUAAGAC